rnacentral:tRNA from 1 species
CAAGAAGUAGUUUAUAUAAAAUAUUAAUUUUGGAGAUUAAUGAUAAAGAAAUUUACUUUUUUCUUGA